GGCCCAAUGGUCAAGCGGUUAAGACACGGCCCUUUCACGGCUGUAACCCGGGUUCGAUUCCCGGUUGGGUCA
rnacentral:tRNA from 1 species